UGACAAGUCUGCAGCGGAUGAAGUGGAGCUCAAGCUCCUGGAUUCAGCGGCGGACGGGUGAGUAAUGCCUAGGAAUCUGCCUGGUAGUGGGGGAUAACGUCCGGAAACGGGCGCUAAUACCGCAUACGUCCUGAGGGAGAAAGUGGGGGAUCUUCGGACCUCACGCUAUCAGAUGAGCCUAGGUCGGAUUAGCUAGUUGGUGGGGUAAAGGCCUACCAAGGCGACGAUCCGUAACUGGUCUGAGAGGAUGAUCAGUCACACUGGAACUGAGACACGGUCCAGACUCCUACGGGAGGCAGCAGUGGGGAAUAUUGGACAAUGGGCGAAAGCCUGAUCCAGCCAUGCCGCGUGUGUGAAGAAGGUCUUCGGAUUGUAAAGCACUUUAAGUUGGGAGGAAGGGCAGUAAGUUAAUACCUUGCUGUUUUGACGUUACCAACAGAAUAAGCACCGGCUAACUUCGUGCCAGCAGCCGCGGUAAUACGAAGGGUGCAAGCGUUAAUCGGAAUUACUGGGCGUAAAGCGCGCGUAGGUGGUUCA
rnacentral:rRNA from 1 species